rnacentral:misc_RNA from 1 species
GAUGAAGAACGUAGCGAAAUGCGAUAAGUAGUGUGAAUUGCAGAAUUCAGUGAAUCAUCGAAUCUUUGAACGCACAUUGCGCCCCUUGGUAUUCCAUGGGGCAUGCCUGUUCGAGCGUCAUUUGUACCUUCAAGCUUUGCUUGGUGUUGUGUGUUUGUCUCGCCUUUGCGUGUAGACUCGCCUUAAAAUAAUUGGCAGCCGGCGUAUUGAUUUCGGAGCGCAGUACAUCUCGCGCUUUGCACUCAUAACGACAGCGUCCAAAAGUACAUUUUACACUCUUGACCUCGGAUCAGGUAGGGAUACCCGCUGAACUUAAGCAUAUCAAUAAGCGGAGGA